rnacentral:rRNA from 1 species
UACGUAGGGGGCUAGCGUUGUCCGGAAUCAUUGGGCGUAAAGGGCGCGUAGGCGGCCAGGCAAGUCGGCUUUGUGAAAGCCCGGGGCUCAACCCCGGAGGUGCGGCCGGGACUGCUUGGCUGGAGGCCGGAAGAGGAGGGUGGAAUACCCAGUGUAGAGGUGAAAUUCGUAGAUAUUGGGUGGAACACCGGUGGCGAAAGCGGCUCUCUGGUCCGGACCUGACGCUGAGGCGCGAAAGCGUGGGGAGCAAACAGG